rnacentral:tRNA from 1 species
CAGAAGGUAGUUUAUUUUAAAAUAUCAGCUUUGGGAGCUGGAGAUAAAGGUUUAAGUCCUUUCUUUCUGA